UACAGAGGGUGCGAGCGUUAAUCGGAAUUACUGGGCGUAAAGCGCACGUAGGUGGCGACGUAAGUCGGGUGUGAAAGCCCCGGGCUCAGCCUGGGAAUUGCAUUCGAGACUGCAUUGCUGGAGUACGGAAGAGGAGGGCGGAAUUCCCGGUGUAGCGGUGAAAUGCGUAGAUAUCGGGAGGAACAUCAGUGGCGAAGGCGGCCCUCUGGUCCAGUACUGACACUCAAGUGCGAAAGCGUGGGGAGCAAACAGG
rnacentral:rRNA from 1 species